GGGGUCUUGCUCUUGUUGAGACUGGUCUUCGACUCCUGCUCUCAAGUGAUUCUCCCGCCUUGGCCUCCUGGAGUGCUAGGAUUACAGGUCAGAUUGAAGGAUGCCUGAGACAAGCAAUAAAUUCUUCCCUUCUGCCACUUUGGGAGGACAAAUCAGCCAUUGAAUCACCUCUUGUUUGUUCAGAUAGACUCAAUCAUCAUUUGACUUGCUUUGAGGGAAUGAUGCAUAGUUGACAAGAAGUUUCAACUCUGAUCAAAUCCUUGCCUAGUGAACAUGACAGGUAUUUCAAGAGGACUUCCUCACACAACUGUCGUCACCACUGUAUCUUCCUAGGGCAGCAGUACAUGCUACUUUGGGAAAAGAUUGCUAUUGGUUAUUUGCUGUAGUGAAGGUUACCAUAGUCAACAUUCUUAACAACCGUCCCUCUGACCAGGACUACGGUAACAGGUAGGCAGCACUAAAUUUCAUGAAGCCUUGUGCAAUGGUCUAAAUGUUUGUGUUAUCCUAUAAUUCAUAUAUUGAAACCUACACCAAUGUGAUAGUACUAAAAGGUGGAGCCUUUGGGGAGUGAUUAGGUCACGAAGGCAGACCCCUCAUAAAUAGGAUUAGUGCCCUUAUAAAAGAGGCCCUAGAAAGUUGCUUUGCCUCUUUCACCACAUGAGGAAACAGCUACAAGGCACUAUCUAUGAAUCAGAAAGUGGGCUCUCACCAGCACUUUCUAGUUGUACACACAAUGUACAGUAUUCAGUAUUGUCAUAGACGAUGACAUACACACCUAGGAAGAUACAGGGGUGAUAAUGGUUGUGGAAAGAAGUCCUGAAAUACGUGUCAUGUUCACUAGGAAAGGAUUUGAUCAGAGUCGAAACCUCCUGUCAACUAUACAUCAUUUCUAAAAAGUUAGGCCCCUUUUUCUAGGGGACUAUUUUGUAUAACCACAGUGGAUUUCUGGCACUUAAGGUUGACCUUAUGUUAGGUAGGGAUGGAGGGGUAUACAGGUGGCAGGGCAGGCCAUAGGAGGAUGUGGUCAAAGGCUGAGGGUUGGGACCAGUAAAAACAGAGAAAAGAAACCACAACAGCAAGAACUUGAGGUUAGGGACUUUUCCCAGUUGGGAGCAUGCAUGGAAGCUAGGAGUUUAUGACCAAAGGUAAUUUUUCCCUCAUUAACAUAGUAAAACUCAUACCCCCUAGCACUAUGACAGUUCUAGAGCUAGCCAUACAAAGGCAAAAAAUGGGGAGGGUACAUGAUUCCGGGAAUCUCUACCCAUUUCCCCACAAAGACAUGAAUAUUCCACCUCCAGAUUAACAUAUUGAUUAUCCUAAAGGACAGACCCUAACCCAGGGAUGACACUGUUCUUUAUUGGAGCAGUCUGCUCUCUACUGACUUUGAGAGUGUGCUAUAUUUUCUAUAUUCUGUCUUUAAAGUCAGGAUCUUCUCCACUCAUGGAGACAGACCUGUCCCUCCUCAAGGAUGCACUUUUGCUUUGUAUCCUUCGCUGUGCUCAAUAAAAACUGCUCAUGUGGAAGUGCUUUGUGUCUGUCAUCACUCCAUUGCACUGGUCUUGCUCGCAGUUAUUCCAAGCAAGGAGCCAAAGGACAACUCUCCUGAGCCACACCUGACACUUAACAUGGAAACAGAGUUGAACACCUUUGUGGUGUGAUUUAAAGAGAAUGGAGAACUUGGCUUUCCAUAAACAUUAGUAAAUGUUUAUUCUUUACUUUUUUAAACUUAUAUCAGAUCUCAUUAGAGAUUAAUAUUUUUUUAACUUUGUAUUUUAAAAUAAUUAUAGACUCAUAGGAAGUUAUAAAAAACAUAGUAAAGAGAGUCCAUGUUCUCUUCACCCGGCUUCCUCUAAUGUUAAUAUCUUAAAAUGUAGUAGUACCUUAUUAAAACCAGGAAGUUGAUGUCACAAUAUUGUUAACUAGACCAGUGGUCCCCAACCUUUUUGGCGCCAGGGACUGGUUUCAUGGAAGAUGACAGUUUUUCCACGGACAGGGUGCAUGUGUGCAACUGCUGGGGCGGGGGAAGUCGGAGUUCAGGCAGUGAUGCAAGUGAUGGAGAGCAGCUGUAAAUAUAGACGAAGCUUUGCCCCCUCACCUGCUGCUUAUUUCCUGCUUGUGUGGCCCCCUAGUUCCAAAGUUUCAAGGAAGACAAUUUUUCUGUCGGGGGGAAAAGGGGUUGUGGCAGAGCUCUGUGGCCCAGUCCCUAAUAGGCCAUGGACUGGUAUCAACCCAUGGCCUGGUGGGGCUUGGGGACCACAGAAUUAGACAACAAAGCUGUGUUCAGAUUUUACUGUUUUGUACAUAUACUCAUGUACGUGUGUGUUUUAUGUAAUUUUAUCUUCAGGUUUGUUCUUUUUGUUUAAGACUGUCAUCACUAUUGCAUACAACCUCUCCUGCCUUGGGAGAGGUAGUAUGUUGUGUGACGGAAAGAAUGUAUGAGUUUUGAAAUGGGACAAACCUAAGUAUGAAGCCUAGCUAUGUUAUUUUCUAGCUGUGUGGCUAUGAUUUUGGCCAGAUCACAUCAUCUCUCUGGGCCUAAGUUAUCCCUUCUGUGAAAUGGGGAUAAUAGUUCCUAAUUCACAUGGCUUUUAUGAGGAUUAAAUGGGAUACUACGUGUAAAGUGCCUGGCCUACCAAAUGCUAUUUCCCUUCUUUAUUUCUCCUUCCUUUAGGGAGGUAACAUUUUAAGCUGUUUUCAGGUCUUUAUAUUUCUGAUUCUAUCCUGAGAAGAGCAAGUUUUAAUGGGAGGAGGUGAGAAGCCCAUGAAAGCAUUGUGUAUCCAAAUGGAAUGUUGAGAGAUCAAAGUUUCCAGAAGAGGAAGGAUAGUGGAACCAAAGAAUGACUUCACCAAUUCUAUGAUUUUUCCUGGCGCUAGUCCUGUUCUAGGUGGUGUGAGUUGUUCUUGUGUAAAAUGAAUGUUUAUAACAUUUUUGCCCUGUACUUUUACUUUUGGCUUGAAUUAAUAAUCUAAAAUAUUUAAUAAACAUCGUAGUCAUCACUUCAUCUAUUCUCAUCGAGAAAUUCUGCUCCUGCCAUUACAAUGAAUUCAGGAUCACUGUGCUAAGGGGAAAUCGGAGCAGUCGAUGAUGUAAAAGUAAUACUUUUCUACAGAUUUGACUAUUAAAUAAUCACUAAAGGAUUUAGAGACUAUCCUGGGUAUAUAACAAGGGUGUUUCUGUUUCUUUUUUCCCUAGGUGUAGAGAGUGACCACAAAGAU